rnacentral:rRNA from 1 species
AUGCAAGUGGUAGUGAUCUGAAAAGUGAACGACCCUUCGGGAGCUUGCACAGGUGCUGCAUGGCUGUCGUCAGCUCGUGUCGUGAGAUGUUCGGUUAAGUCCGCUAACGAGCGCAACCCUCACUGUGUGUUAUAUGUGUCACACGGGACUGCCGGUUUUAAGCCGGAGGAAGGCGGGAUGACGUCAAGUCAGCAUGGCCUUUAUAUCCUGGGCUACACACACGCUACAAUGGUCUGUACAAUAGGUUGCCAAGCCGCGAGGCGGAGCCAAUCCAAAAAAGCAGGCCUCAGUUCAGAUUGUAGUCUGCAACCCGACUGCAUGAAGCCGGAGUUGCUAGUAACCGCAGGUCAGCAAUACUGCGGUGAAUACGUUCCCGGGUCUU